UGCCAGCAGCCGCGGUAAGACGGAGGUGGCAAACGUUGCUCGGAAUCACUGGGCUUAAAGGGCGUGUAGGCGGUCGUCUAAGUCGGGUGUGAAAGCCCUCGGCUCAACCGAGGAACUGCACUCGAUACUGGACGGCUUGAGGACGGUUGGGGUGAGUGGAACUCCAGGUGGAGCGGUGAAAUGCGUAGAUAUCUGGAGGAACACCAGUGGCGAAAGCGACUCACUGGACCGUAACUGACGCUGAGGUGCGAAAGCUAGGGUAGCGAACGGGAUUAGAUA
rnacentral:rRNA from 1 species